GCAAGGGGCUCACGCGCACACUGCUCACCUUCUUCGACCUGGCCUGGCGGCUGCGCAUGAACUUCCCCUACGUCUACGUCUUGGCCUCGGUGAUGCUCAACGUGCGCCUGCAGGUGCGGAUCGAGUGAGCGCCCGCCGCCACCACCGCCCGGCCACGACAGCAGGGGCGCGGGCAUGAGGGACGGCGGGGCCAGGGGCCACCUAGACGGGCGGGAAGGAAUCGAGACCGCUCGGGCCCCCGGGCCUUAGACCUCCGCGGAGGACACGGCCACCGAGCUCGGACCUGGCCGCGACCCGCCCACCCACGUCGCGGCUGGAGCCGCGGCGCACAGAAAGCCGCGAAACGGGCCCUUUGCAUUGGCCUCGACCUGUUGCCUCCCCUUGGCCGAAGAGGAAAGCAGAAGGAAGACAUUCUUCAGCCGGAAAGUGAAAGACUGGCCCGGACCCAAAAGGCCCUGGUGUUACAGGAGGUGACCCGCUCCUUCUCUGGUCUCCUCCAGGGAGGCAAGGUGGGCCCAGAGCUGCCUGGGGAGCAGCCAAGAGAAGGGCCCGACCCAGGAGGAGAGGAAGGGCCUUCCAGGCAGAGACCCUGAGAGCCGGGCUGGCCCAGUGGUCUGGUUCUGGCGAGAGGAAGGAAGGACGGACCUAGGACGCUGUGGGGGAGCUCUGUCCUCCUCAGCCACUGACUGGGGACACUGGGGCUCCCGGAGGGGGGGAUUGGCCCUUGUUACACAGAUAAGAAGCAGUGGAGCUGAAUCUGCCUUUGGCCUGCACCCCCACCCCACCCCCGAGUCUUCCGGAAGACCUGGCACUGUGGGAUGGGGGAGGGGAGCCCAGGCUCCCUGGGGACUCGGGGGGAGGGCAUGGGAAGGUGGGAAACUAGCUCUCCUUGGGGUGUGUGGGAGGUCACAGGGAAGACCAGGGGACUGAGCUGAGAGGGGCCCGGGAGAGACGGGUCCCAGAAGCCCCUGGGGGCCGAGGGCCUCUCCCACAGAGCUGGGCCUCCCCCCCCUCCCCAGGCUUGACCCAGGGCCGCUCAGGUGAUGAAGACAAGCCUGUCCAUUUGGGGGAUGGGGUGAGGAGGCUGGGGGUGUUGGGUGGCUCCGGAGACAUGAUGUGACCAGGGGGGGAAGGCUGAGCCUGGGUGGGAUGGGGCCGAGAGCCACGCGAGACCCCACCUCCCUGUCCCCAGGCUGGCCCACCUGCCCAGGUUUGCCUGGGAGAAUCUCCACUAGCGGGGCUCCCGUGGUCCUGGAGGCCCGGCCGUGCUGUUGACUGGCACCCCGG
rnacentral:lncRNA from 1 species